CACUUUGCACAGUGGCAGUAUCGUAGCCAAUGAGGUUUAUCCAAGGCACGAUUAUUGCUCAUUGAAAACUUUUCCUAAUACCCCGCCAUAAUGACUUGAAAUACAGCCCGCAAUGGCAAUUUUUGACAGUCUCUAUGGGGA
ensembl:snRNA U4 U4 spliceosomal RNA